rnacentral:misc_RNA from 1 species
GAUGAAGAACGCAGUGAAAUGCGAUAAGUAAUGUGAAUUGCGGAAUUCAGUGAAUCAUCGAAUCUUUGAACGCACAUUGCGCCCGCCAGUAUUCUGGCGGGCAUGCCUGUUCGAGCGUCAUUUCAACCAUCAAGCCCCCGGCUUGUGUUGGGGACCUGCGGCUGCCGCAGGCCCUGAAAAGCAGUGGCGGGCUCGCUGUCACACCGAGCGUAGUAGCAUACAUCUCGCUCUGGGCGUGCUGCGGGUUCCGGCCGUUAAACCACCUUCAUAACCCAAGGUUGACCUCGGAUCAGGUAGGAAGACCCGCUGAACUUAAGCAUAUCAAUAAGCGGAGGA